GAUGAACGCUAGCGGCAGGCCUAAUACAUGCAAGCCGAACGGCAAGAACUUUAGCAAUAGAGUUCCUAGAGUGGCGUAAGGGUGCGUAACACGUAUGCAAUCUGCCCGCAACUGGAGGAUAGCUCGGGGAAACCCGGAUUAACCCUCCAUAAGAUCACACAAUGGCAUCAAAGAGUGAUUAAAUCUCCGGAGGUUGCGGAUGAGCAUGCGGUUGAUUAGCUAGUUGGUAGUGUAACGGACUACCAAGGCAAUGAUCAAUA
rnacentral:rRNA from 1 species